ensembl:lncRNA
GGGAGAUUUUGCUUUCUAGAAAAUACUGAGCACAGAAAUCACAGCAAGUGUGUGCUCUGUUCAGGUGUUGAAAGCAGUGUUUCUGCACUGACCUGGAGGAUCAGAGGAUGCUUAUGCCAAUAACCCAUGGCAAACUGCUGGCAGCGCUCCUGCGGGGCACUGUGGAUCACAGAAGCUGAUUUUGUGUGCGUGGGAGGAAGAAAGGAGCACAGAAAAUUUACAACAGGAAAAGUUCUUUCUGACAGUUUUGAGAUUUACAUACCUCAGCACUGCUGGAAUGGGCAUUGCUGGUGCACGGCGAAUAGCUGGCUGUGAGUUUCAGUAUGAUUUGAGCAUUUUGAAGUAAGCCAAAAGGAUUGGAAGCACAACUGGCCAAAGGUAUCGAUGUGUUUUGGACAACAGAUAUGCUUAAUUAAUCUAUUAUGAAUACUGUUGUUGUUAUAGCUUCCUAACUCUUGCACCCUGCUGUGUGUCUCCUGGCCACGUGGUGUCAUCCUCUUUUGGAGAGAACCCACCCAGAGCUGCCUCUCAUCCAACCUGCAGACAGCAGUGCAGCUGAUUCUGACUGAGACUUUUGUUUAGGACUGCAACUCAGCCAGGUGAGGACACCAAAUGGGCAGCCCAGCACUCCCACCUUCCUGUGAGCACCUCACCACCGCGUUCUGAAACAGGUGUGUGGUGCCUGGUCACCCCAUGGAGCUCUCGCCUCCUUCUGGGCUAUCACUGCACCUGCUCUACUCUAGACAACUUCAUUCAGAAUCUGCUGUUGCCUUUUCCAUGACGGACUCAUGGCUACUGCAUCAGCACAGAGUCCAACUCCCCUGCAAUGAACAGAGACAAGCACAGCUAGAUCAGGUUACCCAGGACCUGAUCCAGCCUCACUAUGGAAGUCUCCAGGGACAGGGCAUCAACCACAUCUCUGGGCGACCUGUUCCAGUGCCUCACCACCCUCACUGUAAAGGAAGUUACAAGAAGCUACUGCACUAAUAGAAAACUCACAGCAACUCUUUUGGGCUGACAGUCUUGGCUAUGGAGCACCACUUGGCUCUACUCAAGGAGGGCCAUCACCAAAUUCAGUCUUUGGCUGUAGGCGGGGACAGUGGCAGCCAAGUUCAUUCAGCUUCUGUUAUCACCUUUGAACACAUCCAGUCUGAUGAAAUGGACGUACUUUCUACUGUCUCUUCUGUCCAGACUCUGCCAAAGAGGAAUAAAUAAUAUCAAUUCUGCCUGCCUUAUGCAUAUAUCUAUCUGCUCCAUCCUUUCUCUGAGGAUUUAACAAACUCAGGCCUACACUUCUCUGCAGGCAGUCCCCCCUUCAUUUGUUGAUACUCUGAGCACUGUGUGAACCUGCUCCUUCCAGGCUCAAGGCUGAAGAAAGGCCAGAUGAAAACAGGUGAGUAACUGCCUAAAGGAAGAAAAAGUAUAGAUAAAUUCUCUUCCUUGGGAUUGCAUUUAAAGCUGAGUAGGGAGUCCUGGGUUGAAAGGUUAGAAAGAGAAGUUAUUUUUGUUUCUGGUGGAGUUCUUGUUGGAGGAAAGCGUUGAAACGAGAGAGCUUUGGGGUUAAGAAAGUUUCUAUGAUCAAGUAUGUGGUAGCUGAGAAUUUGCUUUAAAUAGUUCCAGUAUAAUCAGUGAGCAGGGAAAUUAAUUUCCUUUCACAAUGAUGUGGUGGAAAGGCAAAACGUUGGGUUACAUCUCAGACAAAAGGAAAGGUAAACGCUUUGCAUUAAAUUCCUUCUGCAUUUCCUAGUUUUACAGACAGCUUUGAAAUUUACAGUGUAGAUGCAGUGGUUGGAAGUACACACUCACCUUGCCUGACCUCCCACACAACACCAGCCUUUGAAUCUGACCCUAUAAUUUCUGCACCAAGCACCUCUCUCUGUUUGAGCUACAACAUGCCUCUUAGAUAUCCAUCUAGUCUUGACUGGGAGACUGCAAAUAAAGGAAAUCCAUCACAUCCGCAGGUAGCUGUGUUUAAAUCACUAUGAUAAGCCUGUAUAUCUAAGGCUCUUCCCAAGGACAAGACAGCAACAAGAAUUUGCAGUAGAGGCCAGCACUCGUGGGAGGGUGAACAUGUGCAGGUCCAGACAUUCUGUUCACAAAGCUCUGAAACAGGGAAAGCACAAAGCAUUGCUCGAGGUGCCACACAACAUAAAUGUAACGUUAUGGAGAGGACUUGCUCAGAAAUGUGUUCUUCACAAAGUUACAGGACUUUGAUGGAGUAAGUUGGUCUUCAUGGCUGACAGGUGGGAGACUAGACAAAACUGAUUGCAAGCCAAUUAAAAACAAUUUGGGAAAGUGGGGUGUGUGUGUAAUGCUACCUGUGAAAACAUAUCCCUUUACAAAUCAUCUUCUUCCUGUCCAAACUAAUACAUAAAAUGUUGUGACAAUAUUUCACUUGUGUUUUUGUCACGGGGGAUAUUCAAGGGUUCAGCAUGUUUCAAUCUUUCUGCCCUGUGUGUUCUGUGCUCUCUGCGUGGUUCCUCUGUCCCAGAUUGUACCGCAGACCCCCAAGUCAUCACUUAAUGCAUCCUGAGCUGCAGACAGCUGUCACAUCCCUUCUCCUCCUUCAGCAUCCUUGACACCUGCUCCCUGGAAGGGAAGACACAAGGUGGUUGCCACCAUUACAUUCACUGUCCCCUCUACACUGCUUGUUAAAAAACAUAGCCAGUUUCUCAGACCUAAGCAUGAACUUUGAGGGGGACCAAUUUCAAUGGCAGUAAGGCAUUGUGCUUCUUAUAUUACUGAAGCAGCAUAGCUCUUAUCAACAUCUGAACAAAUUGGCUGACUUGAACCACGCAAUGGCUGUGUAUUCUUUCUAUAUAGACCUUUUGAUAUGUUCUAACAUGUUGAGGAAUUUUAUUGUCUUUCUGUGUUUUCUUUUCUCUCAUCUUUAAACCUGUACUGAAAGCCCCCAAAUCCUUACAUUUUUUGCUUAAUUCCUCUUCUGUCUCCUACUCUUCUAAAUACAGACCUAAGCACACAUCAAUCAAAGCAUAAAUCCCAGAGACAAACACAUUGCCCUUGCAGCUACUGGGUGCAGCUGGGUGGCAGAACCUCCCAUGGCAGAACCAAGGCACUGCCCAGACCUCAGCUGGUGCCCAUCACCCCAAUUGCUCCAUCUUCAUUGCAUUUCACUGGGAAGGCUUUCUGCAACAUAUGUGCUCAUUCUGUGGAAUAAGCCCUGGCUGACUCACUCAGAAAUAACAGUAGGAUUUCCUCUGAGGGGGAACGUGUGUAAAAGUGCCCUUUCAGUGACUCUACCACCUUUGGAUACCUGCUUUCACUUCAUAUUCCAACAGUGUUAACUUGUAUAUUUCCCAUACUAUUUUUCCUUGUCUUAUGUUUGUUGUUCCAUCAGUGAGCCCUGUGAAGUUUAAACUGUCUGGCUUUACAGUCAAUUCAGUUCCAUCUUCUCUUGUUAGAUUUAUUUUUUACCUGAGUUAACUUCCCCCACUGCUAGUUCUUUAGUUCCUUUGUCUUGUGCUGUUUUUCCAAUUACAGCCAUCCAGGAGAGAUUUUGCGGUGUUUAAGAUGGCUGAGGUAACCCCUAGGUUAUAUUGUUCCAAGUGUUUCAGUGUUCAUCCAGACCACUCGAGCACUAUGUUUGCUUUCAUACUACAGAAAGAGCUGUUCCAUGCUUUUAGUGCAUCUCGGGACAGAAUGGCCACUAUUGUUCCUAAAUGGCUGCACAGGCAUCUGAAAGCUAUUCUGGUUAAUUUAACUACAAAGGCACAAUGAAUCCAAAAAAAUGUAGGAACCUUACUUAGAUUCAGGAAAAUCUCUUUCAAGGCUAAUGAGAUUCCCCGUGCCUCUCAGAAAACUACCCAAACAAGUGCUCCGGUGUGGGUUUUCUUCCCCUCAUAGAAGCCUCUUAAAAGGAGAGUGAGUGGGUCACCACCAGGUCAAGAGCCUGUGGUUAUGAACAUUACCUUUCAUUCACUGGAAUCAGUCAUCACACAGCCCUGCAUGAUGUUGGGUACAGCCUUGUGUCACCAGUCCUUCAAUAUGAGGUAAGGUGUUUAUGGGUGGCAGCACUGAGUGUGUGGCCCGUAGUUGUAUGCAGUGCAAUAAUUCACCUCUUCAAUCCAAAACUUGGUUAAAAAUGAUAUAGAACAACUUUGUAGAGGAAGUACAACAUAUGUUUUUCAUCCAGCAUUUCAAGUUAUGGGCGGUUUAUCUAGCAGUUGUUUAAAUGCAGUUGACCUGUACAUUGUGAAUAAAAUGACAUUUUAAAAAGCUACUAAAUGCUUCGUAUUAAGAAAGUACAAGUACCUAUCAUCAUUAAAAUACUUAGACCUGAGAUGUAAAGAAAAAAAAAAAAGAGAGAGAAAAAGGUGAAGUCUUCAAAACAUGUUUAAGCCAUGCAGAAAAGAUGAUGCCAUGAGGAAAAGAUUAAUGCUAUUCAUCAAUCUAACAAUACAUCAAUUCCAAUUAUUUUAGUCUUUGUUAAGAAAUAAUAUCUGAGGAUACACAAAACACUAAAGUUUACCCUUCUGGCACAUAGUGUGAUUAAUGCAUUUAGUUAGUAGCCUAGUUUCACGAAUAUGGACACAGAGGUUAGAAGCACCUUAUAGCCUGGUACAUGCCUAUACCACCUUAAUUUAGCCCACGCAGCUCUUGUUAAACUUCUAUUAUUUGCAAUACCAUUCUGAAAAUUAUAAAAGAGUUUGAGAAUUUAGGAGUCCUAUAUGUAACAUCCCAGUACAUUAAAAGCCCUCAUUCUUGGGUCUAGCUGCUGCUUGGAAUUAACAGACCCAGAAGUGAAUUAAAUACAAUUUUUUGUGCAGAAUAACAAGUAUGUGCUCUACAGAGCUGUACGCUUCAAGGAGUCUAUUGUACCUAAAAUAAAAUUCCUAUCUCAGCCAGUUAUGAGGAAAAAAACCUUUAGAUUACUCUCCUAGGGAAACUUUGGAGUAGUGUUCUUCCAGGUCAUGAGCACGCUGGUAGAUGUCAAUAGUUACCAGAGC